AAAACAUCGCCUCUUGACUCCAUAAGAGGUCCAGCCUGCCCAGUGACAAGUUCAACGGCCGCGGUACCCUAACCGUGCAAAGGUAGCAUAAUCACCUGUUCUUUAAAUGAGGACUCGUAUCAACGGCACCACGAGGGUUGCACUGUCUCCCCCCUCUAAUCAGUGAAACUGAUCUCCCCGUGAAGAAGCGGGGGUACAACUAUAAGACGAGAAGACCCCAUGGAGCUUAAAACCCAACGGCAACUCAACCCCACGCACUUCCCCGCACCAAGAGAGCAUGCCUAACGGUUUUAGGUUGGGGCGACCACGGAGUAAAAACCAACCUCCAUGACGAAAAGAACUAAAUCUUUAUCCCAGAGCCACCCCUCCAAGAAUUAGAACACUAACGGACAAUGACCCGACUAUCGACCAACGAACCAAGUUACCCUGGGGAUAACAGCGCAAUCUACUUCAAGAGCCCCUAUCGACAAGUAGGCUUACGACCUCGAUGUUGGAUCAGGGUACCCCAGAGG
rnacentral:rRNA from 1 species